UGGGUUAUGGUCUAAUGGCAUGACGGAGCUAUUUGGAAGCUCAAGAUAUUUGUUCGAAUCAAAUUAACCCAG
rnacentral:tRNA from 1 species